CUGGGGAUCCACUUCCAAGAACGCUGACUCCCAUGACCGGCCAAUUGAUGCUGGCUGUCAGCUGGGAGAUCACCCAGGCCUGGCAGUCAGAGCCCUUGGCUCCUCUCCAGUGCACCUUCCCACAGGGCUGCUAAAGUUCCCCGAAAGUCUGGCAACUGAGUUCCAAGAGACCUCAGUAGAAGCUGGAAGUCUUCUUUUAACAAAGCCUUCAGUCCCAGAGUGUCACUUCCACUGCAUUCUACUAGUGAUGCGUGUCGCAAAAGCCAGUGUUCUUUUCCGGGCACCGCGAGGAACCUGGCCUCCCUGUGGCUCCCAGUUGCCCACAGGGCUGAGCCUGCUGGGAAACCCAAGCCGCUGGCCACUGGCGACAGACACAGCAGCACUGCCUGGGAAUUGUGAAGUUACUUACCUCCAUGUACACAUCGAGCUCCCAGACUCAGAUUUUUCUGAGAGAAUGUGAAUGAUGACAUCUGACUGUUGCAGCAGGCAAUAGCGCGUGGGUUCCCCAGACCCGUGUGUCCACCUUCAACCAGUUCCUUCACUUCUUCAAACCUCAGCGUCUCUGUAAAAAGUUGGGGCAUUAACAUUCCUCGCCUAAGGUUACUGCAAAGAUCAAAUGACAUCAUGUCUGUGAAAAUGUCUCGCACAGGCACUGGAAGAGUAGACAUUUCAUAAAUGGUAGUUUUAUUUAAUUUCAUGUCAUUUUAAGGGAGGGGCAGAUGUAAAAGCUUGUUAUUGAGAAAUAAGGAAACAGAAGCCACAAAUUUGUGGUCUGCAAUUUUUCCUUCACAUGAGAAAACUGUUCACCAAAGCUAUAUUUGCAAACAGGAAUACCAGAAUCUUUUACAAUAUUUCUCCCACUAAAACCUCAACUUUUAGUAAUUGGACACUUCAAAGUUUGGCUAUACAAUCUUUUCCUGCAAUAUACAUAUUUACAAUAUAAAAAUCAAGACAAAAAAUACACAGUCUGAGUCAAUAGGGAAGGCAGAUAAUCAGAUGUAAAUGUUAGGUUCCACAGCCUAUCAGAAAAGAAAUCAUCAUUUACAAAGAUGAUAAAUAUAGUGCUCACAAUAAGAAAAUUAGUAAAUCAGAAACUCUACACAAUAAAAAACAUUUAUGAAGAAGGCUUAUGUGGAAAAAUUACAUUUCCAUCUUUAAAAUUAUCUGCAAAUUACCUAAAAUUUCGUUUUCAGCAUUAUUUCCUUUUUUUUUUUUUUUUUUUUUUUUUGAGAUGGAGUCUGUCUCCAUUGCCCAGGCUGGAGUGCAAUGGCGCAAUCUUCGUUCACUGCAACCUCCGCCUCCCGGGUUCAAGCGAUUCUCCUGCCUUAGCCUCCCAAGUAGUUGGGAUUACAGGCACCCGCCACCAUGCCCAGCUAGUUUUUUUUUUUUUUUUUUUUUUUCCUAGUAGAGACAGG
rnacentral:lncRNA from 10 species